GACGAAGGGGGCGAGCGUUGUUCGAAAUCACUGGGCUUAAGGGGCGCGUAGGCGGCCCCGAAAGUGUCGUGUGAAAUCCCUCGGCUUAACCGAGGAACGGCAGGGCAAACUACGGGUCUUGAGGCAAGCAGGGGUGCGUGGAACUCUUGGUGGAGCGGUGGAAUGCGUAGAUAUCAAGAGGAACGCCGAAGGUGAAGACAGCGCACUGGGCUUGCCCUGACGCUGAGGCGGGAAAGCGUGGGGAGCAAACAGG
rnacentral:rRNA from 1 species